GGGUGAGUAACGCGUAGGUAACCUGCCCUGUACAGAGGGAUAGCCACUGGAAACGGUGAUUAAUACCUCAUAAUGCCGGAUCUGCACAUGCAGGACCGGUCAAAGUUUUUUCGGUACAGGAUGGACCUGCGUCUGAUUAGCUAGUUGGUGGGGUAACGGCUCGCCAAGGCGACGAUCAGUAGCCGACCUGAGAGGGUGAUCGGCCACAUUGGAACUGAGACACGGUCCAAACUCC
rnacentral:rRNA from 1 species